rnacentral:misc_RNA from 1 species
AACGCACAUUGCGCCUCCUGGUAUUCCGGGAGGCAUGCCUGUUCGAGCGUCAUCAAAAACCUCAGUCUCUGAUUUAUCAUUGAUUGGUCUUGCUUCGGAUGCCCAUGGCGUCCCCUGCGAAAUCCAAUGGCGAAGAGCCACGCAGCCAAAGCGUAGUAUAAUCAACCUCGUAAUGGAUGUGUGUGUGCUUCUGCCGUAACCCCCAAAUUCUUAGUUUUUGACCUCGGAUCAGGUAGGGAUACCCGCUGAACUUAA